rnacentral:rRNA from 1 species
CCCUAGUAACUGCGAGUGAAGCGGGAAAAGCUCAAAUUUGAAAUCUGGCAGUUUUUGACUGUCCGAGUUGUAAUCUAGAGAAGUGUUACCUGUGCUGGACCGUGUGCAAGUCUCCUGGAAUGGAGCGUCAUAGAGGGUGAGAAUCCCGUCUUUAACACGGACUACCAUGUACAUUAUGGUGCGCUCUCAAAGAGUCGAGUUGUUUGGGAAUGCAGCUCAAAAUGGGUGGUAAAUGCCAUCUAAAGCUAAAUAUUGGCGAGAGACCGAUAGCGAACAAGUACCGUGAGGGAAAGAUGAAAAGAACUUUGGAAAGAGAGUUAAACAGUACGUGAAAUUGCUGAAAGGGAAACGCUUGAAGUCAGUCGCGUUGGCUAGAAAUCAGCCUUGCUUUUGCUUGGUGUACUUUCUGGUUGAUGGGUCAGCAUCAAUUUUGAUCACUGGAUAAAGUCUUUGGGAAUGUGGCAUCUUUGGAUGUGUUAUAGCCCAUUGUCGCAUACAGUGGUUGGGAUUGAGGAACUCAGCACGCCGUAAGGCCAGGUUUCGACCAUGUUCGUGCUUAGGAUGCUGGCAUAAUGGCUUUAAUCGACCCGUCUUGAAACACGGACCAAGGAGUCUAACAUGCCUGCGAGUGUUUGGGUGGAAAACCCAUGCGCGUAAUGAAAGUGAAAGUUGAGAUCCCCUUCAAGGGAGCAUUGACGCCCGGACCAGACCUUUUGUGACGGAUCCGCGGUAGAGCAUGUAUGUUGGGACCCGAAAGAUGGUGAACUAUGCCUGAAU